GGAAAAUCAAUUAUGCAUAAUUCAAGAUCAGUAAACUCGAUGUUUUUAAAUUAACAAUAAAAAUGUUCGAGUUUGCUGAUCUUGAGUUAUGCUUAAUUGGUU
rnacentral:miRNA from 1 species